rnacentral:rRNA from 1 species
CCUACGGGAGGCAGCAGUGGGGAAUAUUGGACAAUGGGCGAAAGCCUGAUCCAGCAAUGCCGCGUGAGUGAUGAAGGCCUUAGGGUUGUAAAGCUCUUUUACCCGGGAUGAUAAUGACAGUACCGGGAGAAUAAGCUCCGGCUAACUCCGUGCCAGCAGCCGCGGUAAUACGGAGGGAGCUAGCGUUGUUCGGAAUUACUGGGCGUAAAGCGCACGUAGGCGGCUUUGUAAGUUAGAGGUGAAAGCCCGGAGCUCAACUCCGGAACUGCCUUUAAGACUGCAUCGCUUGAAUCCAGGAGAGGUGAGUGGAAUUCCGAGUGUAGAGGUGAAAUUCGUAGAUAUUCGGAAGAACACCCGUGGCGAAGGCGGCUCACUGGACUGGUAUUGACGCUGAGGUGCGAAAGCGUGGGGAGCAAACAUGAUUAGGUACCCUGGUAGUCCACGCCGUAAACGAUGAUAACUAGCUG